rfam:Bombyx mori DNA, contig: Bm_scaf109_contig37111, strain: p50T/Dazao, build 2, whole genome shotgun sequence.
UUAGCUCAUAUUUGUAUGGAAUGGGAUCGUUUGCCUACGUUUGCCGCUAGGGUCGCUGUUCCAACUGCAUACAAAAUUGGCUUA